rnacentral:rRNA from 1 species
AUUGAACGCUGGCGGCAGGCCUAACACAUGCAAGUCGAGCGGAUGAAGGGAGCUUGCUCCUGGAUUCAGCGGCGGACGGGUGAGUAAUGCCUAGGAAUCUGCCUGGUAGUGAGGGAUAACGUCCGGAAACGGGCGCUAAUACCGCAUACGUCCUGAGGGAGAAAGUGGGGGAUCUUCGGACCUCACGCUAUCAGAUGAGCCUAGGUCGGAUUAGCUAGUUGGUGGGGUAAAGGCCUACCAAGGCGACGAUCCGUAACUGGUCUGAGAGGAUGAUCAGUCACACUGGAACUGAGACACGGUCCAGACUCCUACGGGAGGCAGCAGUGGGGAAUAUUGGACAAUGGGCGAAAGCCUGAUCCAGCCAUGCCGCGUGUGUGAAGAAGAUCUUCGGAUUGUAAAGCACUUUAAGUUGGGAGGAAGGGCAGUAAGUUAAUACCUUGCUGUUUUGACGUUACCAACAGAAUAAGCACCGGCUAACUUCGUG